rnacentral:lncRNA from 1 species
AAAGCAAAUGCCAUUUUCAAGAAUACACUCAAACUUCAUUAUAACGAAGUCACAUCUGCCAGAAAAAUAACUUCGUUAUAUCCGAAAAUUCAUUAUAAAACGUUUAUUUGUAACACUGUAGCUAUGACAAGACUAUUCUUCAUUUACUUCGUUAUAACCGAUAAUUCGUUAUAUCCGUGUUCGUUA